GAGAAGAGAAGGAGGGAGUGUCACAUCAGGUGAGGCAGGACCAGUGGUAGUCCCUUGGUGAGGUGUGCUGGUGAGGUGAGACUUGGACAGGAAGUGUGUUCACGCCAUUACUACCCUGCGUGUAUGGACUGCAUGUCAGGAAUAGCUGUUAGCAUGUCAAGGAGACUGUGCCUUCACCAGGGACGUCUCAAAUGUCUCAAGAAUGGGUGGACCAAAGACCAGCUUUCCAGUGUCAUUAUUUUUUUAUUUUUUGUUUUUUGUUUAGGAAUCUGUUUGUUCUCGAAUUCCUAAUUUUUCAGUAAUUUUGAAGCAUUUUUAGGGUCCCCCCAUGACACUUUUUUUUUUCAUUUUGUUAGACAUGGCACAGUUGAAAAUAAAAGAAGAUCACAUUAAUUUUUCAUGUGUUGUCCUAUUUGUAUAUAUUUUGAUGACAAGUACUUUUUAUUGGGUAUAUUAUAUUGGGUAAAAAUCACCCGGCAUUAGUGAUGGUGUUACAAUUUAUAGCGACAGUGUUCUAGGGUUAAUAAACACUUUAAAUAAGGGUGAAGUAAAAGGAAUGAUCAAAAUCAAACUAUGAAGAAUAUAUGGAUAUACUGGGUGACUGUAGCUGCUGUGACUGACAUUUAAACGUGAACAAUCACAGCACAAAGCCAAAGGACAGCAUGUGCAUAUCUUAGAGAAUUUAACUGCAUCCCAAACACUGCUGGGGUCUCAGCCUGCCCAGGAGUGACACAGAAACUGGAAGCCGGUGCACGUUU
ensembl:lncRNA